UGAGGAAUAUUGGUCAAUGGCCGGAAGGCUGAACCAGCCAUGCCGCGUGAAGGAAUAAGGUCCUAUGGAUUGUAAACUUCUUUUGUAUGGGAGCAAUAAGGGUUACGUGUAAUCCGAUGAGAGUACCAUACGAAUAAGCAUCGGCUAACUCCGUGCCAGCAGCCGCGGUAAUACGGAGGAUGCAAGCGUUAUCCGGAUUUAUUGGGUUUAAAGGGUGCGUAGGCGGAAGUGCAAGUCAGCGGUGAAAUCCCCGCGCUCAACGCGGGAGUUGCCGUUGAUACUGUACAUCUGGAAUGCUCUUGCCGUGGGAGGAAUGAGUAGUGUAGCGGUGAAAUGCAUAGAUAUUACUCAGAACACCGAUUGCGAAGGCAUCUCACGAAGGGGCGAUUGACGCUGAGGCACGAAAGCGUGGGUAUCGAACAGGAUUAGAUACCC
rnacentral:rRNA from 1 species